CACACACACACACACGCGCACGCCCCGCGCGCUCUGUGUGCCUGUUCCUAGACCAAGGCGCACACAGACAGGAAGUGAGGAUCAGGCCGUGUGGGAUGGAAAAACUUUGAUGGCUCGGCGCAAGAAACUUCUCAAACUUUUGCGAGGAGGAAGGUAGGUAGGCCCAGACAACCCCAGAAAUUUCAGGAAAAGACUGGUAUAAAUCAUCAGCUUCAUGUUUUGAAGGACAUCUGUUGUGAAGCUUUGGGAAAGUCUUUGGAGUGAGCACUCAUUAUAUUGAGAGUAGAAAGAAUCUUGAGCUUGGGUUAUGGUUGUAAAUAUGUGACAUCAUGUAGUUGAAGGUACAAAUACUUCUUCAGGAAUCUGAACAUCUCUUGUUUCUUCGCUGUUGGCAAGAGCCAGAAGUGCUCUGUGUAGGUCUCGCAAUCUUUUUCGCUGUUUUUUUCCUUCUGACAUUUGUGGGAUCUUGCUGUGCAUAGGAGGAGGAUUAUUUUCCUUGUUGGAGUAGAACAAGUGCCAAGUUUGCUGUUUGGAUAGGAUACAACGCACAGGCUUCCCAUCAAAGAGGAGGUAGAGCUUUUAUCUGCCUACCUGCCUCUUGUAUACUGUGUGGUUUUCCUCUUUUUGGAUGUCAGAUGAGCCCGGAAGUGUGCACAGAGUAGGACACGACGCCACGUCCUGGGAGAGACAGACGGAGAGAGAGAGAGAGAGAGAGGGAGAGAGAGAGAGAGAGAGAGAGAGAGAGAGAGAGAGAGAGAGAGAGAGAGA